AGCUAGAAAGGCUUCAUCUUUCAGCUUGACUUUGUCAAUAAUGGUUUUGUAAGUAAUCUUUGCUCUCUCGGUCUGUCUCUCUCUCUCUCUGUUAUUAUAACUGAAAUUCUUCUCUGCAGCACCUCAAAGAUUGCUGCUUCAAUUAUUAUUAUUUUUUUAUUGAAUAAAAGCUCGGACAUUUAUAUACUGGGGCGUUUUUGAGCGUGCGAGAAAUAUAGUGAGCUAAUUUUAUGGGGAAAUCAUGAGGAAGAAAAAAGAAGGGUGCUGGUGGUUCAAACCAAGCAUCAAGCGGUGAUAUUGGUAAUGUUUCAAAUUCAACAAACAUUGCAAAUGCUAACGGUGGUGUCGAUUUCGACUCCCCCAAUAUUUUUGAAAAGAGCCCAUG
rnacentral:misc_RNA from 1 species